UGACGACCGGCGCACGGGUGAGUAACACGUACCCAACCUACCACCCCCACCGGGAUAGCCUUUCGAAAGAAAGAUUAAUACCCGAUCCUUUAGCGAUAAGGCAUCUUAUUGCUAUUAAAGAAUUUCGGUGUUUGAUGGGGAUGCGUUCCAUUAGAUUGUUGGCGAGGUAACGGCUCACCAAGUCUUCGAUGGAUAGGGGUUCUGAGAGGAAGGUCCCCCACAUUGGAACUGAGACACGGUCCAAACUCCUACGGGAGGCAGCAGUGAGGAAUAUUGGUCAAUGGACGAGAGUCUGAACCAGCCAAGUAGCGUGAAGGAUGAAGGCCCUAUGGGUCGUAAACUUCUUUUAUAGGGGAAUAAAGUGCGGAACGUGUUCCGCUUUGUAUGUACCCUACGAAUAAGGAUCGGCUAACUCCGUGCCAGCAGCCGCGGUAAUACGGAGGAUCCGAGCGUUAUCCGGAUUUAUUGGGUUUAAAGGGAGCGUAGGUGGACGUAUAAGUCAGUUGUGAAAGUUUGCGGCUCAACCGUAAAAUUGCAGUUGAUACUGUAUGUCUCGAGUGUACAAGAGGUGGGCGGAAUUCGUGGUGUAGCGGUGAAAUGCUUAGAUAUCACGAAGAACUCCGAUUG
rnacentral:rRNA from 1 species